GGGAAGCCACGCGCCGGGCCAGCUCCUGGCUCCGAGCUGCGCCCGGCCUUAGGGGGAGCCGGGGGUCGCUGCUGGGCACCCCCUCCCCGGUCCUGGCCCACCCCGCCGCUGUCACCGGGGCCCUGGCUUGGGUUGCGGGUGGCGUAAGGAGACGAGGCGCCCGGAGAAGAGUCCUGGGAACCGCAAGGCCGCGCUCCCGCAGGCCCAGCCCUGCCUUUCUCCCACGCGCACGCAUGAUCACAUCCGGGCCCCGCGCACCUGCCUCCAGGACCGCGGGGACCUCCCGGAGACCUCCCUCCCUUUGGCCUGGAGGACCCCUCUCUCCCCGCAGCCUGGGCACAGAAGAGAGCACAGGGGCAUCUGGAGGUCAAGGGUGCUGCGUCAGUAUUUGGUGAAUGUGUGGGCCGGAGCCAGAUUUCCUCUGUUCCAGAGCCUGCUCUGGAGCCUCUGGGUCUGGGGGUUGCAAAAGGAGAAGCAGGUUGGGUGGGACUCGUAAUCCCAGCUGCCAGUGAGGCUGAGGAGGGAGGAUUGCUUGAGCCCAGCAGUUCGAGCGUGGGCAACACAGUGACAUCCCAUCUCUACAAAUAAUAAUAAAAAUUAGGCCGGGUGGGUGAGUCAUACCUGUGACCUACAGCAUUUUGGGAGGCUGAAGCGGGAGGAUUGCUUGAGCCCAGGAGUUCGAGGCUGCAGUGAACUAUGAUCCCACCACUGCACUUCAACCUGGGUGACAGAGUGAGACCGUCUCUUAAAGAAAGAAAAAAAA
rnacentral:lncRNA from 1 species